UAUGCAAAGUUUUAAUAUGUUUGUUUAAUAAUAUAAACACGUUUCCAUGUGUUUGAAGGUCGCAAAAGCUAAACAUAAGUGGCAACCACACUUUGUAUUACGUUUCGUCUCAUAUAUCAUGAAGAACAACCAAGUAUUUCAAGCUGGGAUCAUGCUGAGGAACCUCAACCAAGGAAAGCUGAGGCGAGGGCGAGUAGGUCCCUGAGGAGGACCACUGCAAAGAAAGGAGGUCAAGGAGAUUCUGGGAGCAACCUGCGAGCAACCUCUAGAUCAGCCAGCAGGCACCUCUGACAAUGCCGCUGCCGGUGUCGACGCUGGCAGCCAUGGCCGGCGCCGAGCUGACGAGCUCCAACCUGGAAGCUCAGCGCGAGGGGCUGGCAUUUGUUGCCGGCUUCGUGGCAUACAAGUGUCACCACAUCGACGCCACCCUCGCCGAGGCCAGCUGUUUGUUCUGUCACAAGCCUGGAUGGCCGCUGUGGAGGAGUUCGAGCGGAACUUCUGCCUGCUGAUGGGGGCAACUGCAGAUCAGGGGCCGCGAGUCAUACAGCGUCUCAAGCUGUUCAUCGCCGUCAAGCAGCCUCAGCUCGGCACCCGCGUGUCCAGGAAGUUGGCGAGCACCCGUCUCCACCUCCCCCUUCGGUCCCUUAGCCUGACUCGACGAGGUCCGGCAGCUGAAAAGAGCCGAUAGAAAAGUUGGCCAUCAUGCAAGGAGCUCUAGGUGAGCUGGUAAACCGGAUCG